rnacentral:rRNA from 1 species
GAGAACAAAAGCGAAACCAAAACAGCCGAGCUGAUUGGAAACAUCCAGAUGCCGCUGCCGCUGCUAGUACUAACCCAACCCAACCCAGCGUUUCCCCUCUAGAAAAUAUCAUCAUUUCUGGCGCCUAAUCAAGGACCCCUGGUUAGUUGCUUGCGGAAUUAUAUACCCACCAUUGGAGCAGCAAGCGAUAGAGGGGAGCGAAGAAGAGCAGCCAGAGGAGAACGCAAGAGAGGAGAAGGUCCGGCGGAGGUGGACGUCGAGAGCCCGGCGGAAAUCGGCCGGCGCGAUUGAGGUGCGGAUUCUCCUCGGGCGGGCUGGUUCCGGGUGGUCGGAUCGAGGCGGCCCUCAAUCUCGGAGGACCUCGAUUCGAUUCGGCGGCACGGGCCGUGCCGCUGUUGAUUAAUCCAUUUGGCUCCAUGGAUGGAUAGGCAGGGCUGUGACGUGAUCUCCUUGCAUGGUUCAUCCUUGGCUAGGUCCCUGGUUGCUUGCUCAGGCUCCAAGUUUUGUGUCAUCUCCAGUUGUGGUAGCCAGUGGGGCAUGAUUAGUAGUGGCAAGAUGGUAACCUUGCUUCCAAUGGGUCUGAAUCGGAAAUGCCAGUGUGGUUCUGCCCUUCCGGUGGUGAUUGGUUUCAAUUGGUGAUUUGUCUAGUCCAUCGAUUUGGACACUGAAAUGGCAAGAUACUGAGAGGGCCGUUGAAAGGAACUGGAUAGGUGUACUGCAGGAGCGAUUACAGAUUGGGGGUCUUCCUUCUCGCUGAGUAUCAGAGAUUGGUUGCGAUGGGUUUACCCCAAGUUUCUUCAGUCAGGGAGGAUGUUUCUACAGGAUCGAGGACACCUGUGUCAAGCCCCUCUCGUACCAAUGGUGUUGGUGCCUGCGAUUUGGAUGGGCUUCCUCGAGAAAGCUCAAAUGGCAAGGCUUCAUAUCGAUCGAUUGGCAAUUUCAGUAGACAGACUGCAUCAGAUUCCCCGGAUGAAUCAAACAGAUAUUUUAGAGACAGCCAUGCGUUUGAUGGACUCACCGACUUCCAAGGAUUAAGAAUUGAUGAUUUUAGAGAUGCAAAUUCUAGAUCUUCUCAUAAAUUGCAGCCUGCUGUCCGUAGGCCCAUAACGAGGGUUGUGGGCUUUGAAUCAAACUGUAUUGGAGGUCCUGAUACAGCAGAACUGGAUACAAUCUGUCCAUCUGUGGCCAGUCAUAAUUUUGGUUCACCAUGUGAUCAGGAUGAACUUCAGGCAAGGAAAGGACUGCUGUCUCCAUUGAAAAAUGUGCUCUCUAGAAAGUUCCAUGGUAAUUUACUGAAUAUUGCUUCUGGUGAUGCUAGAUUUCAGCAUUCCGAGCCAAGUAAGAAACUCUACAGUUCUGGCUUACAAGAUAAUAAAAUGGUAAACACUGGAAGCCUCAGUUCUUUUGAGUCACAGGCAUGUCCGACCCCUAGAUGGUCCAAUUGGACUUCAGAAUUUGAUGUCAAUAGGAUUAAUUCUAUUCACUUCACUGAUGGCCCUUUACUUGGGAACAAGGAGUCGUUAUCCUAUUAUGAUCAUCUAGCUGCCAGUGCAAAAUUAGCACACUCUCCGCUCUCACUGUCUCCUCUCAGCCCUAGACGUAUUCAUAAAGUCAAGACUACAGAAUCUCCAAGGCAUGUAAUGAAAGAUAUUGAAAAUGAUUUCGUAGAUUUGAAGGAACAGGGAGGAUUUGAUGGAAUUGGGAUGCUAGAUGUGUUAGAGGAAACUAACAGAUUACAUGAUGAAUAUGAUACUAUGACCCCUAAAGGAAGUUCAUGUAGAAGAUAUCAAAACUGGGGUUCUGAAUCUUCACCUACGUUUCCGCGAGUUGGUUAUGGACGGAGUUUGAGUCUCCCUGCAAGGAGGUCACUAGUUGUCUCCUUUGAGGAAUCCCUUUUGUCUGGUCGACUUUCUUAUGGAAAAGAUAAUCAGACAAUUGAUGGUUUCUUAGCUGUCCUGAAUAUUGUUGGCGGUAGCUUCUCUCCCCCAACUCAGAAACUUCCAUUUGCAGUCGCAAGCAUCGACGAGGAUAGCUCCUUGUUGUAUUAUUCUUCUAUUGAUCUUGCUGGUAGAUUGUCCACAAGUGCAACCAACAGCAAUAGCCCAAAACUCCAAAGAAGCCUUAGUAACAAUAAUUCAAGAUCAGCAAAGAGUCGCUUACGCAUCCCUGCUAAGGGGCGCAUACAACUGGUUGUGAGCAACCCUGAGAAGACCCCACUCCAUACAUUCUUCUGCAACUACGACUUAACUGACAUGCCGUCUGGAACCAAGGUACACAAUAUUAUGACAAGUUGACUGCUUAUCCUUCAUAUAUUGAAGAAAACCAAAGAUUAUUCUGAUAUUGCGCCAAAACACAAAUGUGCUUUAUAUCUAGUCCUUCCUUGCUUGCAAGUUGCAAUUUCCAAGCUAUAACUUUUGCCCUUAGCUUUAGCCUUACACCUAAUCAUGCGCAUAGUGUGUCCUCAUAUACUCACUAUAUCUAUAACUAACCGGGUUGCCUAAGGAAGCGAGGAAGAUUGAAAGAGAGAGGAAUACGGCAGCCGUGCUAGAUUACAUGGAGACUUUUUCUGUUUAGCAAGUGUUCCACCUGGUUUUGACCAUGUUAUCUGUAUGGACAACGUCCUGAGUAAUCUCUCUCUCUUCCUGUUCCCCUACAAAAAACUAAGCGGGUUGCCUAAGUUUGAGAUCAGGACACAGAACAGACGUUCAUGCGGCAAAAGGUCACUCUGUCUCCCACUGUUUCUCCCUCUAAUAUAGUGAAAGAAGAAAGCAAGACCAGUGACACAAAUGUUGGCCCGAAAGCUCAGUGUGUCUCAUGUGGAAGUGAACUUGCACAAGGAGGAACUCUAUGCUUGGAAUACUGCGGGCAGGGGCGGACGUGCAACUCAACUGAUGAAUCAGAAAAGAGACACGCAAACACAAAAUGUUACUCAUCGGGCACUGACAUGAAGGAAUCAGAUAAACCCAAUUCUAUUGGGAAUAAGCAAAAUAAUACUGAUUCUGAUGAUUGUUGCUGUCAGAUGGACAACGUGCACUCAGGUGCGAAGAAAUCAUGUUGUGCGUCUUCCAGGAUCAACGACAGUUCAGGUGGAGGCGUGCUCCGCUAUGCUUUGCACCUGCGGUUUCUCUGCUCCGCCUCCAAGAAAUCCUCAAAAUCUAUGCUACGUUGCAAAUCCGAUCCAUCAUCUGUACCGCACAGCGGCAAUACGGUGACUGAGGAUAGGAGAUUCUAUCUCUACAACGAUCUUAGAGUUGUAUUUCCUCAGAGGCACUCGGAUGCAGAUGAGGGCGAGCUGAAGGUGGAACAUGAUUUCCCUGCUGAUCCCAAGUACUUCGACAUAAGCAACUGAAAAAUUGCUUUCGCUGUCAUGUAUAGCCUGUGCUGCGGCACUGAUAAAACGAAAACUCUGUACAUAUUUAUUCCACUAAUUUGCCACCAGUCCCCAAAAUGUACAGGUUUAUCUUCCAAUAAAAUGCCUCAUUUUAGUUGUCACUUUCUGUAUUUCUGCUUCUGC